rnacentral:lncRNA from 1 species
AAACCACAACAAGAAAGGAAUCUAUUACGUAAAAAAUUGUUAAAAUCACAUAUAAAAUAGUUUUCUCUAUCCAACCCAAUUUUAACACUCUCUCCAAGCUUUUACUCUACACUCACACCAUUUUACUACUCUUAAACGCUAGAGAAUAUAACAUAUAAUUUAAUUAAAGUUAGCCCAUUAAAACUUCAAAUGUUAUAGCCCAUGAUCUUUCCAAAACCUUUUUUAGUGUUGACAAACUCAUAUAUUUCUAAACCCUUUCAAUGUACACCAAUUCCAUGACUUUUCUAAACCUUUUUUCAUGUGUUACAACUACGCAGCUAAUAUUUUACCAAAUAUCAACAAAUUUAUACCUAUUAUUUGUUGGGUUUCUUUAUUUACCUUCUUCUAAACUUUUGUUACAAAUAAAUAGUAUAUGAUAUAGUAAAAUUUAAACUGCAGGAUUCAAAUACGAAUGCAAGGCCUGUACAGCCUCUCAACAACAGAAUAAUUCAACUUCGAUUUAGAUCCCAACAUAAUGAGAAGGAGCACUAAUGUUAUAUAUACACACAACAUGUGUUAAAGAAAUUUUCUAUGCAUACUCAAACAAUAAUAAUUACAAUAUAUACAUGUAUUAGAUAUUUGUGUGGUAAUUCUAGUAAUGGAUGGUGUUUACUUACUUAGCUUGUACAUCUCCUUUCCUUUCAUUUGGUUUAUAUGUGUGUGUAUAUAUAUAUGGCAAAUAUCAUUUUGUACCACCGAAUUUUAAGGGAUUUUAGAGUUUAUUGAUUUAAAUCAUGAACUAAUUAUAAUUGUAUCCCUAAUUUAAACUUAAAUGUUUAUAAGUAUAUCACUAACAAAAUUAAACUUAAAUUUUUAUAAGUAUAUCACCAACCAAAUUUGAAGAUUUAAAUUGCCGUAUUUAUGAAAUUUUAGGUUUAAAUUGAGGGUAUUAUAAAAUAUAAGGGUUUAAAUAGAUUCUACCUCAAAAGUUUAAAGUUUAUAUUAAUAAAAUUUAGUUUAGAGUUUAAAUUUGUACCACUCCAAAUUUCAUACAAUAAAAUGAUGUUUGCCAUAGAUUUUUUUCAAGGCAAAUUUGGAAGUUCACCAUAAGACCAUAAGACCAAGUGAAACCUCAUCAUUCCAAAAGAUACAUCAAAAUCAAUUGAAAAUAAGCUUCCAUUUAAUUAUCACAUAUAUAGAAUGAAAAUAAUUCAUAAAGAAAAAUGCACAAAAAGCACCCAAAAAAUGUGAAAAAAGAUAAAAUAAUGCCUUCAAUGGAUUGAAAACUUGAGAUGUAUUCCUUUGGAGGUGAGAAAGAAACACUUAGAAGCAAGAAAAAAAAAUCUUGAAUCAAAUUGGGAGUCUAAUUUAUAUCAAUACAUAGAGAUAAUUUUAGGUUUAAAUAUUUUAAAUCAAAUUAUAUUUUCAAUAGAAUUACAUAAAUAAAUGGAGUUUUUAAAAAAAUAUAACAAGAGGGUAAAAUAUUUAUAUUGUAUAGAACAAUUUUGAAAAUGGUAAAAACUUACAAACCCACAAUGCUAAGUACCAAAAAUACCACAUAAUUAAUUGGCCACACAUGCACAUAAAACAUGGUACACGAUCGUUCAAAUAUUGGUACACAAUCAUUUAGCUUUUGGUACAUGAUCAUGUAUCAAACCCAAACGGUACAUGAAGUGUUGUGGAUUCCCUGUUUGUUGGGAUGAGGUUGGUGAGUAGAUGAUGAUUGGUCCCGAAAUUCAGUCUACCAACGAAGCCAUGUAGAAGAUUAGAGCUCAUAUGCUGACAGCGUAGAGCAGAUAGAAAAGUUACGCUAAUGUACAGCGUAAGUGUCACUCUCGCCUCAAAUGCCACUUCCUGUGACCAAAUAGGGGGGUGUUUCCUAGACACCAGUCGUGUAUUUCAUCGUGAGAUGAUGCAAUGAACGCCUAGUAAGCGGAACAACUCACUUUAACUUGUCUCAUCGCAAAGCCUUAGAGAUUUCUACGACUCAUUACAACGAAAAUACUUAACCUUCGAUUGUACUCUAUCGCCUAGGUUUGAACACUUAACUCGAAUUCAACUACAAAGUGAUAAGUGCAAUAUCAAUACAACAGAAUAAACAUAACUUCUCUUUAUUAAUAUAAAACUUUACAUAGAGUUUGCUCUUAAUGAUUAGAUUCCUUUCUUACAUAGUACAACAGUAAAACUUGAGUCGUUCAAACCCACAUGCCUUCAUUCACCAGGGUGCUACUUCCUCAGAUCAAAGGUGUUUAGGAGUAUAAGAACCAUUUUCUUAUCAUUCUCCUUGAUCGCCCAACAACCCAACUCAAGGACAGUCUUUAGGCUCUUCACUCUUUGCUAAACUCUUCCAUUCAUCGUCUUUGGCCACACAAAAUUGUGUUGAUGCCCUUGGCACUUCUUCAAAACUGAGUCGAUGCCCUUCGUGUUAAAGGCUGAAGUUUUUACCUGUUGACUCCUUAAAAACAAGAUGGAAAGACACGACUUACUAGCCGCACAAGUUUACAUAACAAUCUGUUGGCUUUUUGGCCUUUAAUCUCAAAUUAAUUUAUUUUAAUUAUUCAAUUAAUUUAUGUUUUGAUGAUAACAAAUCUGUUUUUUUUUUUUAUUGACAAUUUUAUUAAUUUGAAUAGACCAUAUCGCAGAGCUUGGAAAAAUGAUUCUAACGCCUCUUGAAUCACCCAAAUCGAAGUUCAAAUGAAGAAAAUAUUGCUAAAAGAAGCUUAACGAAAAAAUACCCGAGAUGGUGACGUGGCGACCAAGCAUUCAAUUUGAACCAAUUAGAGAAAGCCACUUGGAGCAAUGAAGGAGUAACAAAUGUGGCUUUUUGUUAUGUUUUAUUGGCUUUUAUAAAGAAAAUGAAUUUAAAAGGAAAAUGAUUUUAAUAUUAUUAUUUUUUCUUGUGUCUAACGGCUAGUUUUUUUAAAAGAUGGUGAAGUUGCUUUAUUGAUUUCUUUUUAAACAAAGUAUUUUGAAAAGACAUAUUAUUAUAUUAUUAUUUGUAUUGUGUCUAACGGCUAAUUAAGUUUAAAUCUCAACCAUUCAUUUUUCUUUUACCUAUAUCUAAUGACUCAAAUGAUUUUGAAUUUAUCUUUCCUCUCUUUUUAAAUACUUCACAUUUACACAAGAUCACAAAAUCUUUACAAUCCUCAAGCAAAAAGCCAACAUUGUUAUUCUCUCUAAAGCUUCCAAUUUUUAUUCUUUUCAUCUUAUUCUUGAGAGCUUCUUAUUGUAUUGUGAGGAUUAAAUUUGUGAGCUUCAAAUUGUAUACUCACUCUUUUAGAGAGUUUUCUUUUGUAUGAUUUAAAAAUUUCAACAUAUUGUAACGGUUGGAUCCUAACCCGUGGAAAGGAUCGGGUUUGCUCUUGAACCCGAAAAAGGAGCAAGAAUCGGUUCGGCUCAAAUCCGUGGAAAGAGUCCAAAGAAGAUUUUCAAUCAAAAUCCCAAGAGGUGCUUGGGAAAGUGGAUGUAGGUUGAGUUUAACCGAACCACUAUAAAAUUACGGUGUCUUCUUCUCUAACUCUUUUCUAAUUAUUUUUUAAUUUAAUUUUAGUUACAUAUUCUUAUUGGUUGAGUUUGAUUGCAUACUUCCAUUCAUAUCUUUUUAUCAAUCUUGUUAUUUAACAAAGUUUACAAAGUUCUUUAUUUAAAUUUUAGAAAAUAUCUAAUUAGUUGAUUUUACUUUUUAUUUGUCGAAAAGUUUAUUUAAACCCUAUUCACCCCCCUCUAGGGUUGCCAUACCGGUCCAACACAAUCCACAUUUUCCUCAUUCAUUUGGCUUCUACACUUGAGAACCAUUCUUUACUUAACUUCAACGUCUGAUAACCUGGGGAGGGGAAUACUUAAAAUGUAAGUCAAAGACUAGUGAGUGGUGGGUUUAAGAAAUACCUUUUUAGGCAUUAAGAAAUACCUUUUCAGGGAAUACAACGAUUUCAAUAACAACGAUCUUAAUCUCAUAAACAUAAGCAUACAUUGCUUCAACACAAAUUCUCAUUACAAAUUAUAAGCACAACGAUCGCAAACAAUUCCACACGUUCUGUUCAUCAAAUAUUCAUCAUUCACCAUUGAGACUUGGGAUUCUUCCAUUCAUAUCUAAUCGCCUAGACCUGAGAUUCACCUCACCAGCAUUUACCCGCAUAGACCUGGGAUUCACUUCACCAGCGUCACACGUUAAACCUGGGAUUUACACGAGCCUCUUGCGAGAAACUUGGGAUUUCUACAAGCAUCUCGUAAUAUUCAUUCUCACCCACACCUGGGAUUCGCUUUCACCACAUCUCAUCGCUUGAUAUAGGAUUCGCUUCAACAGAGUCUCACGAUAAACCUAGAAUUGGCUUUCACCAACAUUUCAUAAAUUCAUUCCAUGCCUAGAUCUGAGAUUCACUUCACCAACGUCUAGAUUUCAAGUACACAACUCAUUCUUGCUCAAACUUGGGAUUCACUUCACUAGCAUUUACCAACCUAGACAUGGGAUUCAUUUUCACCAGUGUCUUGCGUUAAACUUGGGAUUUCUACCAGCGUCUUGCGACAAACCAACAGCAGUACCACACAUUUCACAAUCAAUACCAUCAACAAAUGAGAAACAUUAGCUCAACAGCUUACUUUCAACGCAUGAUGAUUUUUACAGCAAUAAACAUCAUCAGAAGGUUAUAAAAGAAUACUUUUCAUACAAUCGUUAGUAAAAUACUUCUUUCAUUUACAAGAAUCAUAGAUGCAAACAUUUCAGAAAAAAAACAAUCAUUCAAUCAUUUAAAAGGUCACUAAAAAAAAUACUUAAUCUAAAUUGUUUCUCCAUUUCUCUUUCGACUCCUAGCAAUUCCUUCAACCAACCUCUUCAACACUCAAAACCUUCUCUUAACAACUUUUUAGAGUGUUUAACAUCUCAUGCUUUCUCCUCUCGACCCUUAGGUCUUAUUUAUAGUGACCUAAUUUCAUAUCCAUGGGUCAUUUUCACGCUUUACAUGUCACUUUACCACAUUGAUGCACUAUGCAGCCAACCCAAGUUCAACACAUAAGUCAAGUAUUACUCCUUGAUUAGAAAUUUUCCUUGAGACGCCAACCUUAUCUCUUUGGAGUACUCAACCCACCUAACUCUCUACUCGGAACAUUAAAAGAGAAUAAAGUUAUCAUGACACAAAAAUGCAUCGGGAUAAAUAAAAUCAACAAACGGAGCUUACCCUAGUGCCAUAAAUUCUAUGUCGUCAGUGGUCGUCUGUCUUAAUGUAGUGUUGAACACGUCAGGACAACAUAACACUUUCUCGAUGCAAUUUACAAAAACAUCAUGGAAACAUUUUGUUUAAAUAGUAAUUUAUAUUUUUCCCGACGUCAUGUAUAUAAACAUCAAGGAUACUCUAGCUAUGGCCGACGUUAAAGUUAAUGGUGUCGGGAAAAAUAUAUAUUAUUAUUUCAUUUUUUUGGUUACCCGACAUCUUCGUGCAUGGCAUUAGGAAAGGGUUAGACUAUGUCGACAUUAGGGUCGACCACGUUGGAGAAAAUUUAGCCCUUAAAUAAUUAUUUCAACCUUUCUCUAAUGCCAUAAGUGAGACGUCGAGAUUGAGCAAACUAUGGUUGAUGUAAAGGUUGACCAUGCAGGGAGAAACUGUAACUUUGAAAACUUUUUAAAAAUUUUCCCUACGCCAUAAGUGAACAAGUGAAACGUCGGGAUUGAGCACAAGUAAUCUUGAAGUGUUCACUUAUAACGUUAGAAUUAGGGAUUUUCACGAUGUUUUUGGUUUGCAUCUGAAGAACCCCUAUUAAUAAGCAUUGUGUGUUCACAGAACACAAAACAUAACGAAUGAGAAAAGAGAAAAGGUUAGAGAAUGAGAGAGAGAGUCAUUGUCAUUGUCGUGGCCAUUUGUCAUCUCCUUACCUAUCGACAUCGUGUUUCACCGUCCAGCGUCCUCCAUUCGUCGUCGUCACUACAUUUCAGUAAAGAUACGUUUUUUUUCUAAAUAUAUAUAUGAUUGAUAUUGAAUUUGUUUGCAUGAAUAAUGUAUCAAUUGUGUGUAUAGAUUGUAUAUUGUAUAUUGAAACGGUCAUUGCCAUCGUCGUCGCAUUAAAUUGUAUGUGUCGCGACGUGAUCGCUACGCGGAGCGGCCGACCUCUCCGUUUAUUUUAUUUUAAUAAAUAGUUUUGGAGUCGCCACCAACCAUAUUAGGGUGUGAUUGGUCACCAAAAAAAAAAAAAAAUGGUCUGCGUACAUUAAGAGAUUUAAGUUCGGGAGUCAAGUUGUGUGUAGGGAAGGUGUUAGCACCCUACAACACCCAAAAAUGGUUACCCAAUUUUAUCUUUUAAAUUAAAUUAUAGAGGUUCACAAAACAAAGUUUUUAUUUAGGUUUUGUUUAAAUGUCCCAUGUUUAUCAAUUCAUAUCGAAGAAAGUAAAACCUAAGCAUGAAUUGAUGAUUAUGGGUGGCAUAGGAGCCAUUAGAAAAAUUAAGUUUAUUUUUGUUUUAAAAGAUUUUUAUUCACCUUAAGAAUAUUAAGAUACCAAAACUUGAUAUUUUAAUCUCUAUCAUAGGUGUUUAAUGAAAAAUUUCAUAUAUCUAGAAUUAAUAAAUUCAUAGAAAAUACUACUCAGUCUCAUUUAAAAUAUGAAAUGUGUUAAUUUAAAAAAACAAUCUAUUAAUUAAAUUUCAAACAGAAAAAUUUCAUGUAUUUAUGGAUUUUAAAUUAUAAAAUCCAUAAAAAAACAAUACUUUUUCUCCAAUUUACAUUAUUAUAUUUAAAUAAAAAAAAGAAUAAUAACAAAGGCAAAACAUUAUGAAAUUUGAAAAAUACUUAGAAGUAAUAUGCUGAGAUAAAAUAAAUACAUUGAUAAUAUAUGCAAAAUGUAAAAGAUAUUAAUGUAGGAUGCAAGAUAAUUAAUUAAUGCAGGAUGCAAAAUAAUUGAUUAAUGCAUAAUUAAACGAGGGCCAAAUGGAUAUCAAAUAAUAAUUAACAGUUGAAUGCCAAAGUAGGUUUGGCCCAAUAUGCAAAUAAAUAAUAUUGCAAAUAAAUAAUCACACCAAAAUGAAUAUCAAAUAAUUAUAGCCACAUAUGCAUACUGAUUAAUUAAUACAUCAUGCAAAUAAUUAGAAUGAGGGAGUGAAAAUGUCACAUACAAGUUGCUAAUUAAUUAAUAGGCCAAAUGAAAAAUGGUUGUUGCCAAAUAUUAAUUAUAUCAUGCAUAAUUAUUAACAUGGAUAAUAUAUGGAUAGCAGUAAUUAUUAACGGAGUAUGUCAUAUGGAUACAUGGAUAAAGUAAUUAACAAAGACUGUAAAAUGGAUGCCAAUGAAGAAUGAGUAUUACCAAAUACAAGAUGUUAAUUGAUUAAUUAUGCAUAAUUAUUAAAGUAUGUUAUAUGGACAUAAGUAAUUAACUGUAAAAUGGGUGCCAAUAAAGAAUGAGUAUUACUAAAUACAGAAGGCUAAUUGAUUAAUUAUGCAUAAUUAUUAAGGCAUGCCAUAUGGAUAUAAGUAAUUAAGUGUAAAAUGGGUGUCAAUGAAGAAUGAGUAUCCAAAUACAAAUAUAUGAUGCUGAUUAAUUAAAAAGAAAUUAACACAGGAUGGAUGCCUAGUAAUAAAAGAAAAUUAACACAGAAUGGAUGCCUAGUAAUAAAAGAAAAUUAACACAGAAUGGAUACCCAACAAUUAAAAAGAAAUUAACACAGAAUGGAUACCCAACAAUUAAAAAGAAAUUAACACAGGACAGAAUGGAUACCCAAUAUUUAAAAAGAAAUUAACACAGGACAGAAUGGAUACCCAAUAUUUAAAAAGAAAUUAACAUAGAAUGCUCAAUAUUUAAAAAUAAAAAAUAAAAAAUUUAAUAUAGAAUGGAAGGUAGAAUGCUCAGAAAGAUACAAAUAAUAAAAUUAACAUGUUAAAUGAUGGUAAAAUGAUGAACACGAUAGUUCAUAAUUAAAAGCAGUAUAUCAAACAAGAAAAAAAAAAUCAUUAAACAAGAAUAAGAAUAAAAAGAGGAAAAAGAAAAAAAAAAACUUACCGGCAGGUCUGCCCUUCAAUGCCAAAGGUUAUUCCUUUUGAUCUUCUUUCACUCUUCACCUCUUUCUAAAUCCUCCAAUAAUAAAAAAAAAGAUCCUCUCCCUUUUCUUUUUUCCUCUUUCCUUUUUAUAGGGCAAACUCUAUUGUUUUUUUAGAUCACGAGAUGGAGUGCAGACUACAGAGAAAUAGGAAGAAAGUGGGAGAGUGGGAGAAAGUGAUAGAGUGGGAGAAAGUGGGAGAGUGAUGACGAAGAAAAAGGGAUGGUUGAGAAAAAAUAGGAAGGAAAUCAAACCUUUUAUUUUUAUUUUUAUUUUUAUUAUUUAUUUUUAAAUGUAUUUAUUAUUAUUGUUGUUUUUUUUUUAAAUAUAAAUUUAAGAUUCAAAUUCAAAUUUAAUUUCUUUUUCUUUUUCUUUUUUCUUUUAUAAUAAAUAAAUAUAGGACAAAAUACGGUAUCUACAGUAUGUAUAGAUUAUAUAUUGAAAUUUUUGGAAGUUUAUGAAUUCAAUUGUAUAUGAAUUGUUUAUGAAUUUAAUUGUAAGUAUAUUGAAAUUUGUAAUAGGAGACUUGUUAGGUGUAGUUUAUUCAUGGAGUAAGUUUGAGAAUUUGAGAGGAGGAAUAUAAGACUAAUGAAACCUAUUUAUGUUCUAAGUCUUUAACGAUGGACAAAGGUUGAAUGAAAAUUAGGAAUAAGUUCUCGAUUGAGUAUAGAGAUGAAGUAUCCCAACUUUUAGAGGUUGUGAAGUAUCACGUCGAUGAGUACGGACGGACAAGGUGUAUAUAUGCAAGAGAUGUAUGAACUUACAUUAGGACUCGUUAGAGACUGUAAAGCGACAUUUAUUAAUGAUUGGAAUAUCCCACUCCUAUACAAAUUUAGUGUAUCAUGGAAAACUAGUGAACUUGCAUAAAGAUAUAAAAUGAUUUGAUGAAAGAACUAGCAGUGACCCUUUCCAUGAAGAAACUAGCAGUAACCCUUUCUACGAAGGAACUAGCAGUAACCUUUUUCCUGAAGACAAUGAAAUGUUGGGUAUGUUUCAUGAUUUACAAGCUUCGAUUGAACACAAAGAAGAAAUGAAGGAAGGUUUAGAGAAUGACACGUCGUUUAAUAGUGGUGUAGAACAAGAGAGAACAAACAUAUUUCAGGAGUUAUUAAACCAAGCACAUAGUGAACGAUACCCUGAAUGCUUAGAUUCUUAAUUCCUGAACUUUUUGGUUACAUUGAUGCAUGAAAAGGUUCUUAGCGGUUGGAGUAACAAGUCCUUUGACAUGUUGUUAGAGAUAUUAAAAUGUGCAUUUGCAAUGUGUGUAGUACCACUAUCCCUAGUUUAUUCUACGAAGUCAAACGAACAUUGUGUGACUUAAGGCCUAGGAUACAAGUUUAUUCGUACUUGUAAUUGCGACAAUGUAUUGUAUUGGAAGAAGUUUGGGGAUUUGCAAAAUUGUCCAACUUGUGAUGAGUCUCGUUACAAGGUUAGACCUAACAGAGGGGAAAAAAUUAUGCAUAAGAUAUUGCGACACUUUACAUUGAUACAGAGAUUACGACGAUUAUUUGUAUCACAAGAUGGCUCAUCUAACAUAUAAAAUGACAGAAGGAUAAACGAAUCGAAAUAGAGGAUGUGUUGUGACAUCCAGCUAAUGCAAAGGGAUGGAAGCAUUAUGAUUUUGAAUUUUCUGAGUUUCCUUCAGCUUCAUGGAACGCUUGUUUGGAUUGACUUCUAAUGAGUUUAAUCUGAGUACUGGAUAGCAUGUCCCUACGAGAUCACUGGAUAUAUAGCGUGUGUUCGAGAGCAUGAUAGUUUUGGGUACUUCCUUAUGGAACCUUAAUAGGAAGUUAACAGACACCUAGCGGGACUAGUAAUGGGUCUCUUACGGAGUGUAUGUUUAUACUCAUCAUUUUCUAUGUUUAAUAUUUCAGGAAAAGAUAAAGAUGGAGGAAAGCUAGCGAGCGACAUGAAUGUCCAUGACAUGCCAUAUGGGGACAUAGUUCAUUGGUUGUUUUUUUAGUGUUUUGAGCUUAAAUAUUUUUAUCUAUCUAUUUUUAUUUUCUUUAAAAUUUGUAAGCCCCCCGCAGCAUGUUUUCAUGGUAUUUUUAAUGAAAAUUUAGUUUUUCUCUUUUCAAGAAAUUGUAAAAAUUAUUGUUUAUCUUUAAGGUAAUGACCUCAACUUAGUAUAAAAAGUUGGAGUUGGGUCGUUACAAAAGCAGCCCUACAACCAUACUAAUGAAUCGAAGUCGUUUCUACAAUGAUAGAACGAGCUUGCUGAACAACAGGGUCAAUCAGUCAACGAGUGGAGUUGUUUAUAGAAACACACGCUCGGGGUUCGUCAGUUCGUCUCGCAGGAAGAUGUGAAUGCACAUGUAAGUUUAUGAAAGAAAAUCUUGUGUUUUAUUUUAUUGAUUUAAUUUACAAUUAGUUUGACUUAAUUAAAAAUUUUCUUGCAGAAUCAAAUACUGGAACUCUAGUUCCAGCUAACCCAAGAGUUUUCUCAACAACUCUCUAGAAACGAGAUAUGCAAGAAAGUUUUGGGUAGACAAUCAGGCUACUCAGAAGGUCUUGGUUAGAGCCCAGGCCAAAGUUUCGAAAGGUUGUUAGCAGUUCUUCGUCUUUAUCAUAUGAGCAAUAGAUGUACACGAGAGAGGUCAUCGAACUAAAAGCUCGCGUUGAUGCCGCUCAAUAAUGUAUUGAAGAACAAUGAAGAAUUUCGGUGUUGCAUGAGCGAAAACACAAAGAAAGUGACCGAAAGAUGGAAGAAAUGAGAAAGAUGAUUGAAGAACUGACUCGAACACAGAAAGGACCUUGAUUCCAUUGCAGUAUAUAUUUUUCAACUUCUCAGUUCUUUAAUUUUUUUAUCGAUAAUAUAUAUCUAAAUAUAAUUUCAUAUCAUUGCAGCUUGGGAGGCUUGGGGAAACUGGCAUCCGUGAUGCUUGGUAGAAUUAUAUUUUUAGUUUUUAGUUUCUAUUAUUCAUGUAAUUUAUGAACCUACAAAUGUGUACUUUUUUAAUAUUUUAAUUAAUUUUAAUAUUAAUUCAAUUUGGUAUUUUAAUAAUUUUUUAUUAAUUUUACGUUAAUUAUGUUUAGAAUUUGAUUGAACUUAAACUGAAUUCGAACCCAAUAGCAAAAUAACAAUAAUAAUAAUAAAUUUCAAAAAUAUUAUUAAAAGUUUUUCCUGACGCACCAAUGACAUUGGAAAUUGACGUAUAUACUAACACCGCGUCAGGUGUUCUCUAUUAUCGAUGUAGAAUCCAACUUUAAUAAUACCCUAUUGCCAACGCGUUGAUCGAAUGUCAAACAUGGCUUUUCCCGUACGUUUUGUGUCAGUCUGUGAAGCCUGCGUCAAGCAAAAAGUAUUGCUAACGUCGUUCUGUUGGUGCGUCGAUUUUGCCUCUCCCAACGUAGUAUUGUCAACAUUCUCUCUGUUGAAAUUUAUGUCCUAAAACUAGUAGAUUGUAAAUAUAAUUCAUUAAUCGUUAUUAAUAAAGUGUUAUUAUUGUAAUAAUUGUUAUUGAUUAUAUUGUUAGUUUUGUCUUAAUAACACAAAUCCAAUCAACUAACAUCCUAAGUUAUUUAAUGAGUCUUGAGCAGUAUGUAGAGACAUACAAGGAUCAAUGUUCGAAAUCAGCUUAAAGAGUCUAUAGUAUAAGAAAAGAUUGAGUGCCUUAUCCGGCUCACUUUGUAUUUGAUGCAAACGCAAUGAUCCAUCACGUUCGGGUAGUUGACAUGCGAAUGAGGGUAUCAUAUGUAAUGAGUUUGCAUAAGAUCAGACCGCGAAAUAGUAACCACUAGAUGUAACUCCAUUAACUAACUAGGUUUCUAUUUUACUAGGAUGACCUAGGUAACUAAAUCUUAAUCCUCAGUGUAUUAUGAGCUCCUGCUUGCGAGGGAUUGUCCUUUGAUUUGUACGAGUGAGAGUGGUCAGAUCACCAACUCAAUAAGCUUAUCAUUUUGGGGACAAGACUGAGUGGAGAGCUAGGAACAUAAUUACACAAUAUGAAAUUCACUAUUUCCUUACUUUAGGGUAAGUAGAUGAGUGUUCCCUUAAAUGGUGUCUCCAGGUUUUGAACAAAGGGCCCUACCCUCUCUAUGACACGAUAGGGGUUUUUGUUUAUUGAUAGGACCAUAAACAAGUUGUUCAAUAGAGGAGCACUGAUAUUUAAGGAUUAGAGGUAACCUAGGGGUAAAACGGUAAAUUGACCCAACUGGUGUUACAAACAAUCGUGGAAGACUAACUUACUGUCAUUGGUCUAUAUCCGUGGACACAUAAAUAUAUCUACAGUGAGAAGAGUUCAAUUGUGAGUCUUUAGUGAAGUAUACAUACAAUUAACAAAUAUUGAUUAAUAAUGUGGUUAAUGAGUUUAGUCAAUUAAUCUCAGGUUGUUGUAGCUUCUGAUUUAUAGGUCUAUUUAGGUCUCAUUCCUAGCUCAUAAAGGGCAAUGAGAUUUAUUUAUAUUGGUUGUAAUUUGAAAUCUUCAAAUCUACUUUAGGAAUUAGUUUAAUAUAUAGUGAUAUAUUAUAAUAUAAAGUUUAUCAAACUAUAUUAUAUAAAUUUAAUUUUGGAUAUGAUUCAAAAUUAAUUUAUGAGAGAGAAAAUAUUUGAAUUAGUUCAAAUGUUAAUUUAAUGUGAAUUGGAUUCAUAUUAAAAAUUUUAAUUAAGAAAGAAACUUAUAUUUGAAUAUGAUUUAAGUUAAAUAUAAGAUAUUUAAUUUAGCUAUAAAUUAAUUAAUAGUUUUGUUUUAUUUAAUUAAAUCUAUAAGAUAUUGCAAAGAUAUUUAUUCAGAUAAGAUUGGAAUGAAAUAUUAAUUAAAUAUGAUUUAAUUAAUUCAUUAAUUGUUAAUUAAUUAGUAGAUUUGAUAAUAGAAUCUUAUGAUUCUCUUCUACUCCUCUUCUUAUUCCAAAAAGGAAAUAAAGUUAUAAAUAUCUAGAAGAAUACAGUUUUCUUUAACAAAUUCAUCAAAAAAGGAAAGUGAAGGCUUUUGUUUUACAUAAAUAAAAAAGUUUCUCUCAACUACCUUUAAACAUUUUUUCAUUUCAACUGGUUCCCACAAACCAAUCUCAUCCUAGAGGAUAGAAAGAUCUCCGACGAGUGGUGUCCCAAGCCGGUGGUUUGCAUAUUCAAAAACAUCAAGAAAAGUAAGUUAUCUGUAUCUUUUAUUUAGACUUUUGAUUAUAAGAUUUUGCCAAUGUACUGGUAUUUUAAGAUUCUCAAAUUAAUUUGAGAAAUAGUUCUGUAAAAUCUUCCACUGUCAUAGGGCUUUUAUCCUUUCACUCUCUGACAUGGCUUUCUGCAUCGAAAGAGAGACUAUAACGCCCCAAUAUAUAUAUAUAUAUAUUUAUUUAUUUAUUUAUUUUAUUAUUUAAUUUAAAUAAAAGAAAAGAAAAAGAAAAUUUUCCCUUUUCUCUUCCCCUCUCACGCGUGCCCUUCCCUUAUUCUUCAUAUUUUCUUCCUCUUUUCUUUUCGUUUUCUACAGCAGCCUCACGAUCCUCUUCCCUUCCGUUCGCCGCAGUCCAGCCGCCGCCCCUUCUUCUCUUUUCUUCCUCUUUCGUUCGACGUCGACGGUCAGGCCAAGCCAAACCGCCGCUGCAACCGUCGGCCGCCGUCUCUGUUCGCGAAGCAAGGCCGCCGCGUGACCUUCCGCCCAGCACCGUGUGACCCUCUGUCCAGAUCUGCACCGCUAGAUCGAGCCGUCCACCGGGUUCGUCUGUUUCUGUCUCCGUUCACCGAAGCCGAACCCAACCGCCACCCAUUCUUUUCUUCUUCGAUCCAAAAACUGCCGCUGCAACCGUCAGCCGCCGCAUGACCACUGCCCAGCGUCGUGUGACCCCCUACCCAGCCCCGCUGCGUGUCACAAUCGUAGUCCUUCAAACACGAUGUGAACGAUUGCGGCACUUGUUCUAGCUCGACGAACAAGUCAGCCGAUCAAAAUCCGCAAUUCGCGGACAACUUUAACACAUGCUUCAACCUCCCCUCACGUUCUUGGAAAAUAUUUUUAGAAAACGUGAAAGAUGAUUAAAUUGAUUGAAAACAUUGUUAAAACAAGCAUUGAACACUGUCAAUUGCAAUAAGAAAGCAUAGGUUGCAAAGAGUACGACAAGGCUUGGGCGGGGAUUCAACAAGUAUGACUCCCCUAUAGUACAUUUUUAACUUUUUCAUCUCUGGCAGGCUUGCAUAUGCAAAAUGCCGAAACGUCACACCCAAGCAUAUCGACUCGAAAUUGAAAGCAACUACCUAAACUACAUACAAGACAUAAAGACAAGAUAAAUUGGGGCUAAUCGGAGCAUACGGCCAUAGGUAACACACCUUGGACAAGUAUGUCCGUUACAUUCUCCCCCACCUAAACAGUUGACGUCCCUGUCGACUGGUGCAGCUUGAACUCCUCGAUCUUCUGCGCCUCGGCUUCUAGGUCUUCGACACGUUCCCAACUGGUUUCUUCCACAGGAAGGUUCUUCCACUUUACCAAGUACUCGUGGAUCCUUCUUGUUGGUCUUCGGCCCAUCCUCACUCGUUCGGCCAAGAUUUCUUCAACUUCUUUACUCUCCUUUUGGCUGAGGUUGAUGGUCGGUCGGGCUAUGGCAUUACGUUGCAUGUCAUCAGGAUCUUGGUAGUAGGGCUUCAAGUUACUCACAUGAAUUACUGGGUGGAUUUUCAUCCAUGUGGGCAACGCUACUUUAUAAGAUGUGUUCCCUACCUUCUUCAGCACUUCCACUGGUCCCUCGUACUUUCUUACGAGGCGUUGGUCCUUGCGUCCUCGGAACCGAAUCUGUCCUGGUCGUAACUUAAUGAGAACCUGAUCUCCGACCCGCAACUCUAGAGGGCGGCGCUUCUUGUCUGCCCACUUCUUCAUCCGCUUCGAGGCUUUCUCUAAAGAGGCUCGAGCGAUGUCUGUCGUCUGCUUCCAUUCUCUGGUAAAAUUGUGAGCUUGAGGGUUCUUCCCCGCAUAGGGGUGAUCAACAAGGUGUGGCAGAACCGGUUGCCUUCCGCAAACAAUUUCAAAAGGGCUCUUUCCAGUUGACGAGCUUGUCUGAGCGUUAAAGCAAAAUUGGGCGACAUCCAACAACUGAGACCAAUUUCUUUGCCUCGCGGUAACCAAAUGGCGCAAGUAUUCUUCGAGCAUACAGUUGAACCGCUCGAUCUGACUGUCCGUUUGGGGAUGGUAACUUGAGGACACAUUCAGGCUUGUCCCUAAGAAAGUGAAUAACUCUGUCCAAAAGGUGCCAAUGAACCGUCCAUCUCGAUCACUCACAAUGCUUGUUGGUACGCCCCACAAUUUCACAAUAUGUUUAAAGAAUAGUUGAGCUGUUAACUCCGCCGAACACUGCUUCGUAGUGGGAACGAAAGUGGCAUAUUUCGAGAAUCGAUCUAUGAUGACUAAUAUAGUCUCAUAGUCGCCUACUUUUGGAAGAUGGGUGAUGAAGUCCAUAGAAACACUCUCCCACGGUCUCGUUGGCACCUGUAGAGGUUCGAGAAGCCCCGCAACCUUUGCCUUCUCAACUUUGUCUUGUUGACAGACAAGACACGUCUUCGUGUAAUGCAUGACGUCGUCCCUCAUACGAGGCCAAAAGUAUCCUUUCUUCAGCAAGGCGUAUGUCCUCUGCCAUCUGGGGUGGCCGGCCCACAGAGGGUCGUGACACUCGUGUAGUAACUUCUUCCUCAGGUCUCCUCCCCUAGGGACAUACAACCGUCUCCCCUUCGUCACUAACAGCCCAUCUUCAACCCAAAACUGCCUUGUUUUACCUGCCUCAGCUAAACUCAUGACACUUCGAGCCGCAGAAUCCUUCUGUAAGAACUCCCUCAAGACAUCGCGCAUAGGGCCAUCAAUCUUGCUUGUGUAGAGAUGUGCUAACAUGCACAAAGCAGCGUGGUCGCCUCUUCGACUAAGCGCAUCAGCGGCCUGAUUGCUCACCCCCUUUUUGUGUUCAAACUCAAAGUCAAACUCAGCUAGGAAUUCCUGCCAUCUAGCUUGUUUUGAAGUCAACUUCGGUUGCGUAAAGAAGUGACAAGUAGCACUAUUGUCCGUCUUCACAACAAAAGUUGCCCCCAAUAAGUACUGUCUCCAGGCCCUUAAGCAAUGUACUACGGCAAGCAUUUCUUUCUCGGACACAGUGUACCUCCUCUCCGCGGCAUUCAGUUUUCGACUCUCAUAAGCGAUGGGAUGUCCAUUCUGCAAGAGUACACCACCCAAUGCAUAAUCAGACGCAUCGGUCUCUACUUCAAAAGGUCGGGUCACAUCUGCGAUUCCCAAAACUGGCCCCUUGACCAUAGCUUUCUUCAGUUCGUCGAAGGCGGCCUGACAUUCGAGUGUCCAAUUCCACUUAUUGUCCUUCUUCAGCAAGUCAGUCAGCGGGCUUGCUCUUUUAGAGAAUCCUUCCACGAAUCGCCUGUAAUAAUUGGCUAACCCGAGGAAGGAGCGCAAGUCGGUGACUGACCUUGGUACUUCCCAAUCACGAAUCGCAACGAUCUUCCCUUCCUCCAUGCUGAUUCGACCACAUUCAAUCACAUGACCCAGAAAAUUGAUCCGCUCUUGAGCAAAGGAACACUUUUCCCUCUUGACAUACAGUUGGUUCUCCUUCAGCUUCUGAAAAACCCUUUUGAGGUGGUCCUUGUGUUCUUCUAGCGUGGAGCUAUAGACCACUAUAUCGUCCAGAUAGACCACCACAAACUUGUCAAGGUAUUCAUGGAAGACCUGGUUCAUUAGCGUACAAAACGUUGCAGGCGCAUUGGUAAGACCAAAUGGCAUGACAAGGAACUCGAACGCCCCAUACCUCGUAACGCAGGUGGUUUUGGGCUCAUCCCCUUCGGCAAUUCUUACUUGAUAAUAGCCCGAUCGCAGAUCUAGCUUCGAGAAAUACUUUGCUCCAUGAAGGCGAUCAAAUAGGUCGUUGAUUAUUGGUAGCGGAUAUCUGUUGCGGACCGUGAUCUUGUUUAGGGCGCGGUAGUCGAUGCACAACCGCAUACUUCCAUCCUUCUUCUUUUGGAAAAGGACUGGAGCUCCAUAUGGAGCUUUUGCAGGUCUCACAAAUCCUGCGUUCAGCAGUUCGUCCAGUUGUUUCCGAAGUUCGGCCAACUCCGGCGGCGCCAUACGAUAAGCAUUCUUCGCAGGCGGUUUUGCCCCUGGCAGCAGUUCAAUCUCAUGGUCAAUCAUUCUCCGCGGAGGCAAUGAUUUCGGCAGGCUGUCUGGCAUCACAUCCUUGUACUUCUCUAAGACACUCAGGAUGUCUUUGGGGACUGUUUCCCUUGAGCUUUCCAACGACUCCAAUGGGAUAGCCAUAAAGGUUGGUUCGUCACGAGCGAGGCCUUUCUUCAACUGCAUAGUCGAGAUCAUCUUUAUCCCAUCUGGUUGACGAAUCUCCGUUUGAACAACAGUAGGCGUUGUUCCAGUAAUCACUAGACAUUUGGCUAGCGGCAUUGGUAUGACUUGAUGCUAGAGUAGAAACUCCAUACCCAGUACCACAUCGAAAUCAUCCAUCUUUGCCACCACCAAAUCUAUGAGGCCGCUCCACUUUCCCAUCCUUAUGGUCGUUCGUUUUACCAACCCAAUGAUAGGUAGGGCAGCUGAGUUCACGGCCUUCAUUUUUCCUGCGUCCUUCUCCCAAUGGAGAUUCAGCCGUCUGGCUUCUGCCUCUGCAAUGAAGUUAUGGGUGGCACCAGAAUCCACCAUAGUACUCUUGGGUGGCUUCUGGUUGACCCAACAGUCCACAUACAUGAGACCAUUCUUUGCUUGUCCACUAGUCUCCCCCAUCUUCCUCUGGAGCGAUGACAGAAACUUUAGGGCCCCCAUCCGAGGAUUCUCACCCUCUUCUAUCUGUCCAACGUCUCCUUCCGUCUGACUCAAUUUAUCGUCUGAGUCUGAGGCUAGGGUGGCUUGAAAAGCGUUGAAGGCGGUACGGUUGAGGCACUCUCUGGCAAGAUGGGGCCCUUUACAUAUGAAACAACUGAUGGAACGACCGGAGUUGUUCUGAUUGUUUGGUCCUCGCCAGUUGUUUCCUGCAUUCGCUUGGAAGGGCCUGCGAUCUCCACCUUGUCGCUUGUCUCCCCCUGCAGUCUUCGGGGAAUUUGGGCGGUUGUUUCUGUUUCCUCCAGGUGAGGAAGCUUGAUGCCGUCUUGCAUCCUGGGAUUCGCUAGAUAAGUCAAACAACCGUUCAGCCACUGCGUAUGCUGACGUGAGGUCUUGAAUUCGUUGCUCAUACAACUUGGUCCUAGCCCACGGCUUCAAGCCCUCGACAAAACAGAAAACUUUGUCUUUCUCGGUCAUGUCGCGUAUGUCCAACAUCACCCCCGCAAACUGUUUCACGUAGUCCCGAAUGUUCCCCGUGUGCUUCAAUUCACGCAGCUUCCGUCGGGCUAGAAUUUCGACAUUCUCAGGGAAAAAUUGCGAACGAAGUUCUCCUUUUAGGGCAUCCCACAUGUCGAUUGUGCAACGCCCUUCUUGAAUGUCCAUGUAUCGAGACCUCCACCAUAACUUCGCAUCUUCUGACAGAUGCAUGGUUGCCAACGUCACCUUGGCCUCUUCAGCAAUUGUGUUCGUGGCUUUGAAAUACUGCUCGACAUCAAAGAUGAAGUUUUCCAAUGCCUUGGCGUCUCUCGCCCCACAGAAGGGCUUGGGCUCAGGAACCUUGAUCCUGCCCACAGGAAUGGCUCCUCCAGCUGGAGCCUGGUUUGCUAGUGCUCGCAUAGUAAGGUUCACUCUCGUGUUUACCUCUGCGAGCUCAUUCCUCACGACAUCGAGGGUUGCUCGAAAAUCCUCUGUCAUGCCGUUGAUCAUCUCCAACAUGUUCUUUUGCGAGUUAUCAAGCUCCAUAACUCGUUCUUCCAUCUGGGCAACAGAGCCCGAUGAACUGUCCCCACGCUCGUAGGUGACAUUUCCCGUUCUCAAAACUUGGGACUCUAGAGUGUCGACUCUAGUCAGUAACUCUUGGAUGGGUAGUCCGUCAAGGCGACCGGACACGGCUUCAAUGCCACUAGCUUUCAUGGCAAUAUCCUCAAGCCGUUGUUCCAAGAACCGGAUGGAAUCAGGAACUUCCACCAGGUAGAGCAUCUGCUCUUCGAUUCCCAUAAGUCGUUCAUUAUGGGUCUUGCUAGACUGUUUCGCUACCGACAUCUUUCUAUCACGCACCGUCAACUAGCCAACUUGGCUCUAAUACCACUUGUCACAAUCGUAGUCCUUCAAACACGAUGUGAACGAUUGUGCGGCACUUGUUCUAGCUCGACGAACAAGUCAGCCGAUCAAAAUCCGCAAUUCGCGGACAACUUUAACACAUGCUUCAACCUCCCCUCACGUUCUUGGAAAAUAUUUUUAGAAAACGUGAAAGAUGAUUAAAUUGAUUGAAAACAUUGUUAAAACAAGCAUUGAAGACUGUCAAUUGCAAUAAGAAAGCAUAGGUUGCAAAGAGUACGACAAGGCUUGGGCGGGGAUUCAACAGGUAUGACUCCCCUAUAGUACAUUUUUAACUUUUUCAUCUCUGGCAGGCUUGCAUAUGCAAAAUGCCGAAACGUCACACCCAAGCAUAUCGACUCGAAAUUGAAAGCAACUACCUAAACUACAUACAAGACAUAAAGACAAGAUAAAUUGGGGCUAAUCAGAGCAUACGGCCAUAGGUAACACACCUUGGACAAGUAUGUCCGUUACACCGCGCAACCUCUGUCUCCGUCGAAGCCGAGCCCAACUGCCGCCCAUUCCUUUACUCUCCGUUCGUGAAGCCCGAUCGUCGCGUCAGAUCGUCGAUCGAUUUUGAGGCAGCGCGCACGUCUCCUUCCAGCCGCAAUUCACAACCGACGUACACUCUAAUCUGUUUGUACGAUCUUCGUUGUUAGGUUCGAUCAUCGCUGCCGCCGUUUUUGUUGUGAGUUCUCUGAUAAGUAAAAUUGAUAGUUUCUGUUUGAUGGAUUGUUAAGAUAAAAUAUCAAAUGAAACGUUUGAUUGAUACUGUUUUGAAGGUGUUGGAAGUGACAUUGGGUCCUUCGUGUUCAUAACCGAAAUUGUGAAUUUUGGAGUUUGGCUCGCCAAUACUUCGUAUUUUUCGUGGAAUAUAGUUUGUUUAAGAAGUUGAGCAACCUUGAGGUAAGGGAUUUUAUUUUCUACUGGACUCACCUAUGCUUGUGAACUGUAUGUCUGUAUGGUUGUCUCUGACUGAGUAAAGAUGUUGAGCUGAUAUAUAUAUACACAUGUAUGGACGUAGAUUUGAUGUUGAAUGUAUACUGUGGAAUGACUGAAAAUAUAUAUAUACACAUGGAUUGAAGUAGACUUGAUGUUGAAUGCAUAUUGUGAUUGUCUUGGAAUUUAUACAUGUGUGUGUGGAUGUAGACAGGACGACAAUUGUAGAUUGUGUUUGUAUGAGAUGCGGAUGUGAAUUUGUGAUUGUCGUUUAGACUAGGUGUACGUUACAUUAAAGUAUGCCUGUGUACUGGUGAAUUGAGGGAUGUUAUGACCAUAUAGUUUGAUUGACUGACAUAUUAGUAUGUUACUGACGGACAUUGGGCUAAAGUGAGAUAAGUUGACUGUUAGAACGUUGAGUGAAAGAACUUUAUAAUUUUAAGUAACUGAAAGAUGGUUCGAAUGGAAUGAGGGGAAAAAUUGUUAGCUUUUAUUGGGAUGUGUGCCUUGUAGGUGUCCCACAGGAUCACCAAUUAUUCUGCACCUUCGGGAUGCAUUAGACUGAUAUGUGUUUCUGCAGAACACUAGACUGAAAUGUACGUCCCUUGGGGUGUUAGACUAAAAUGUGCAUCCUACGGGAUCACAAGACUGCAACUGUACCGGGUGUCCCAAUAGAAUGUUAACAAUUUAUUAUUCCCCUGACGGGACCAGUAGAGAGUCUCUUACUGAGUAUUUUUAUACUCACCCUUCUUAUGUUUAAUUUUCAGGCAAAGGAAAUAAAGGUGGCAAACCGGCGAGGGGCAGGAAGGAAGCGUGAUUGCCAUAGGAAACGUGUUAUCUUGCUUCCGCUUAUUGUUUCUUUUAAGGUUUAAAGAUGUGGUAUUGAAACUUAGCUUACAAACUUCUAUUUGUAAAUAGUACUUUUUUUUUUAGUUUUUGAAUGUUUGAAAAUCAGGCAUGACUUAAAGUUGUUUUUUAAAUUGGCUUACGUUUCAUUUUGUAUCAACCAAUGUCUUUUGUCAAAAUUUAAUGACCUCGACUUACUUAGAAAAGUUGGGUCGUUACAGAGACAUUUCUUAUGCAUUUUGUGAUUUUUGCCAGAUAACCAUUACUUCUUCUAGUGGAAAAUGCCAGUCAUUUACUUGUCCUUAGAGGGUUGUCUAGUCUUGUCAACAGAACACUUACUUCAUCGCAAGAUACUGAGGCCUAGGUACUUCUCUCUACCUUACUACCCCCUCGCUUAUUACUUAGCAUUAAGCGCUUACUUCUUCUUCAUCGGUUAUUCUCAUUGUGUCGCUCCUUUAACGCGAUGGCACUUAGACUCAAAUAUUUCUCUUCACAUCACUUUAUUCUCUCAUCUCCAUAUAUAACAGCAUUUUUAAAAAAAAUUGCAAAUAUAGUAAAAAUUUGUCAAAAGCGAUCACUUAUACAAUAUGUUGCAAAUUACUAGUUUAUCAUUGAUAGAUAAGAGUCUAUCAAGAAUAAAACACUACCACCAAUAAACUUUACUAUAUUUGUAAUUUUUUUAAAAUGUUGAUAUAUACCUAAUUAUUAUUUCUAAAAUUGCUAUAUGUUACAAUAACUCUUUAUUUUUAUUUUAUUUUAUUUAUCUUUAAGCUUCAACAAUUUUUUCAAUGCUACAAAAAGUAUGUUUUGCUAAAAAAAAUCAAUUUUUUAAAGUUAUUUCUCUUUUUGUUUUUCAAUUUGUUCCUUUUUCUUUUAAUACUUUUUCUUUUUGUGCUUUUGGUAUUUUUAACUUUUCAAAAAAAUUCUUUCAUAAGAUAUUUUUCUCUCUUUUUUCUAAGUGGGAAAAUUAAAAAAGUAAACUAAUUUAUUAAUUAGUCAACCAAUUAUCAUGUUAGAAUUACUUUUCCAUGUCAGAUUUAUAUGUUAGAUUUAUCCGUUAGAGGCAUUUUAAAAAACAGGACAAGACGCAAAAUAUUUACACCGUAUAGAAUAAUUUUAAAAAAGAAAAAAACGUACAACGUAAAAUAACAAAAAUAUUCUACGAUUAAUCGACCACACACGUGCAAAAAAUGAUUUUGUAUCAAGUAUAAACGAUCAUGUACAUAGCCUAAACGAUCUUGUACCACAAUCUAAAUAUUCUUGGUACAUGAUCUUGUACCAAAUCUAAAAGAUCGUUUGAAUAUAUCAUUUAUCUAUUAGUGAUAGUGGUUUAUCUCUAUCUAUCUUAGAUAGACGAUUGAUCAUUUAGAUACAGCAUACAAUUGUGUAGUGAAUGUAGGAAAAUAAUUAAUCAAUAAAUUAAUUAAUGAAACCCGCUUUAACAUUAAAAGUUAAUUGUAUCAUGAAUUUAAUUAACGAAACAUUUUUAAAAAUCUCCAAAACAAUUUUUCUUUUAGAAAGAAUUAUUAUAAAUGACAAAACUAUUAAAAAUAGUGGUAAAAUUUAUAAAUAUAAAUAUUUGUUAUACUUUGAUUCAUUUGACUAUAUUUAAAAAUAUUCCAAUUAAAAGAAGUCAACCCUGAACGAAUAUCACGUGUUAGUUUAAUGGACACAAAAAGUGAAAUUAUUUGUUUCACAAAGACAACACAUAACCAUGAACUUUGAAAAAGAGAAAAGAAACAAAAAAAAGUUGAUUUGAAACUAUAUCUCGUAAAUGAACAGUGUAUUAUCAUCGAUCCCUCGUUUUAGUUCACAACCUUUAAGUCCAAACACAAGAUUCCUAGAAUAUAUAUUAAACCACACACAACUAUAUAAAUACCAAACUCGUAAUUAAAGUAUUCAUAAACAAAUCAUAGAAUUAAAAGUAUUACUACAUACACAAUAUGGGUAGAGCAGAACCAAUUAAGGAUGUGAAUGACUCAGAAGUGAAAUUUGCUGCAGGGCAAGCAGUUAAAAUCCAUAACGAUCAAAAACACGAUACAUUGGUUUUCAUUCGUGUAGUGAAUGGUCUGAAGCAGGAAGUUGAUACUGCCAAGCUGUAUUCUCUUCUGAUAGAAGCUACAAAUGGUGAUGGAACUCAUUGGGGAUAUAUCGCUAAGAUUAAGUUGUGGCCUAAGGCCCCAAGUCAUUAUGAUCCAUAUUCCCAUACCUUUGAGCUCAUAUCUUGGGAAGAUCCCCUCAAAUUCUGGAACUAAGUAUUCCAAUGUUAUCUUUUUACAUCUUUACAUCUUUACAUCUUUACAUCAUAAUAAUAUGUCCUUCUCUAUAUAUAGAGAGAGGGCAUUAUUGUCUUCCAACUACUAUAUGAAAAUGGUAUAGCCUUGAUUAAAUAGUGAUACACAUAAUCUAUUUCUAUAUAGUAUAUGUGUGUCCAUAUAUAUAUGUUUAACUUUUUCUCUUCUCUCUCCCAUCUAUGUUCUAUGUAUGUAAAGAGUUUAAAUAAGACUAAAUCAUUAAAUAGUCAAUUUUACUUUAUAAUUUGUCGUUUACUGUUUUAAACUGAUUAUUUCGUUUUAUUUAUGACAUGGGUAACUUAAGGUGUGUUUGGAUUAUCUUUUAAAGUGUUUAAAUUUGAAAAAAAAAAUUAAAAAUUUGAGGUGUUUGGUAACUUUUCAAAAUGUAUUUUUAAAAAAUGAGAUUGAAAAAUAAUUCAUUUUAAAGAAAAUGCUCAAAACCAAAUUUUGAGAAAACUAUGUAUAUAAACUCUUAUAAAAGGAUAGAACCAAACAUGUAAAUAUUUAAAUUUUAAACUCAUUUUAAGGAAAGUGUUUAAAAAUAAUGUAUUCUUGAAAAAUAUUUUUUUUCCAUAGGUAAACCAAACGCACUCUUAAUCUUAAUUUUAACUUAAUGAAUAAGAUGUAAUUUCGAGGGUAAAACGAUAACCUUGACUUAGCCGAUAUUUCGAAUAACCUGUAAAAGAUUAACUUACUAAUCAUAGUUAUUUCAAAUGGACACAAAUAUAUCUAUAGUAAAGGAACUGAAACUAAGAAAUUUUAAUGGAAUGAUCUAGUUAGUUAACGAAUGUUAAUUAGCUUAUUCUAAAAGAAUUUAGCUAGUUAAUCUCGAAUCGAUGAAGCUCGUGAUCUAUAGGUUUAAUAGGUUCCCUAAUAGCUCAUAUGGAAUAAACUUAGAACAAUAUGAUUGAAUAAUUUGAAUUGUUCAAAUUGGAAAAUGAGAGAAAAAUUGACAAGUAUAUGUGAUAUAGCAAUCAGUCACUACUAGAAAACUGAGAUUUAACAACACAAAAUAUGUGUCAUAAACGGUUUUCAUGUCACAUAUUUUGCAUCUUUGAAGUGCUUGUAAAGAUAGGACAUUUACUGACGCAUCCUAAAAAGUGUCAUUAAUAUUGCUUAAAACGAUAUUGAUUUAACGCCAAUAAUCAAUUUCUCUUGACAUUUACCACCUAUGACUAUUAAUUGGAUUAUGAAACAAUGAAAUUGUCAUUGUUAGUCUCAAAUGAUCAAAUAUUGCGUCUAUUUUCUAUAUUAGGGCUACAGGUUUAAUUUGAGAGAGAGAGGGAAGGUUGAGUUUGAGUUGAGAGAAGAGAGAAAUGUCAUUCACUGGAGAAUUCUGGGCAAGAUGCAUUCAUAGAGGGCUAUAGAACUCGUUUCUUGGAUUUUUUUUUUUAAAAAAAUUGAGGUAUGAAAGUUAAGACAUUUUCCAGCAACUUUGUACAAGAAAGUAUUUUCAUUUGAGUUUUUCAUUUUAAGAUAUUGGCUUAUAAAUUAUAGUUAAGGUUUUAGCCAAAAAUGAGUUUUUGGACAGUAGAGGUUGUUAGUCGAAUGUCAGAGGUUGUUAGACAAGAUGGACAUGUGUUUUGGGUUAAAAGAGGUUAGCGUUGCGUUUAGGCUGGUGUUUGGCACACAGUCUGUGUACAACGGGCGUGCAGCUAAGGAAGCACACAAGGAAGGCUAUGUGAGACGCUGACACACGACCAGGUGAGGUACCCACGUGUUUAUGGGUGAGGUUAACACGCGGGCAUGCCUAGCGCGAACGAAUCGAAACUCCAGUUUCUAUAGUUUUAAAUCAAGAUCCACGAUCUACUUAAAAAAUUUGGCCAAAGUUAUAGGAAGCCUUAGAAACCAAAAUAAUUUUAGCACCACAUUUCAUCCAUAGACAGUGGCCAAUCUAAAAGAACUAUUCAGGCAUUAGAGGACAUGUUAAGACCUUGUGUUCUAUAGUUCAAAGGGAGCUAGGAUGAUUGAUUGUCCUUGAUUGAGUUUGUCUAUAACAACAACCCCUUUUAAGGCGUUGUAUGGGAGGCGUUGUAGAACUUCAAUACGCUAGAAAGAAGUGGGCGAGAGGAAGCUCUACAGUCUAGAGUUAGUCUAGGCCAUAACGAAAAACAUCAAAUUAAUUAGAUAAAAUUUAAAAAAUUUCCGCGAUAAGUAGAAGUGCUAUGUGGAUAAUUGUCGUAAAGCAUUGGAAUUCAAGGUUGGGGAUAAAGUUUUUCUAAAAUUAUCACCUUGGAAGGAUGUGAUCAGGUUAUAUUAGUCCACGUUAUAUUAGUCCUUAUGAGAUUCUAGCAAGCGUAGGACCAAUGACUUAUAAGCUAAGAUUGCCUGCAAAACUAUCUAGGAUUCAUAAUUUCUUUCACAUCUCCAUGUUGAGGAAGUAUGUAUCAAACUACUCGCACAUACUCUAAACUUUUGAAGUAAAAUAAAACUUGAACUACGAAGAAAGGCCUUUGUGUAUAAUGGACAAAAAGGAACAAGUCUUGAGAACAAAGGUGAUCCCCAUGGUCAAAAUUUUGCGAGACAACCAUGGCGUUGAAGAAUCUACUUGAGAAAGUGGGGAGCUAAUAAAAACCAAGUACCCACAACUUUUCGUACAAACUCACUGAAUUUCAAAGACGAAAUUUCAAUAAGGAGGUAGUACUUGUGAGACCAUAAACGUGUUUAGAUCUAUAUGAUGAGAUUAAAGCGAAAGAAACAAGUAAUGCAAUGAGAUGGGUACUAAUAAAGAACUCACGUGUUAUGAUGAGGUACGCGAUGAAAAAACGAUAUUGGGAUCUCCAAAACCUUUUAUAAAGACCUUGCUUGUUUAUUCUUUCCUCGCAUUGUGAUCUCCAAAACGUCAAGUAUCAAAACGCUCUCUUUUAUAAAAACUUCUUUUUUCAAAAUCCUUCACUUAGAUUUUUCUUUCUCAAAAUGACCCUUCUACUCAGGCACAAGUCUCACAUUCUAGGUUCUUUAGUUUUUUAAAAUAGGUUUGAGAGGUCCUUUAAUUAAUUUUUAUUUUAUUUUUAGUACUAGAAAGGCACCCAAGUUUUAGAAGGGUGUGGGAUAAACAAAUCUGGAUUUGUUGGUGUUUCUACGUCACUCGGCUUGGCAAGGAAUGGAGAGGAAUAAAAUAGUAAUAUACUUUUAUUAAAUAUGUAUUUUUUUAACUUAAAAUGUUUGUCCUUAUAUCCAACACUUUAUUUUCAAUUAAAACAACUUUAUUAUUCCUUAAUUAAUUAAAAAUUCGUUUCCAAAAUGAUUUUCUUAUCCAUUGAGGGGAGUUACAUAUGAUGAUCGUUAAGGCAUUACAUGAUUGAGACGUUAUCACAAAACUCACUCUAGAUAAGAGCUUGCCAAUAUAUGUUCUUCUUCGUUAUUUGCGUUUUUCGAGAAAAUCAAAUUAAAGAGUGUUUGGUAUUUCGAUCAAUUAUUCUAGUGUAGCUCUAAUUGAGUUGGUUGUUGUUUUAUCAUAGAGCGUCAUGACAUUUUUUGAAUUGUUUGCACUCUUAGCAGAGUUGCAAAAUGUCUUAAAGAAAGUCUGAUUCGUGACUUCAACCUUCUUCUUAAUUACUAUUUUCUUUUUUGCAAUAUUUUAGAAGCAUGCUCUAGAUGUCCAAACUUCCACUGGAAGAGCACCCAAUGUCAUUAACCUAGGCGAACAAAUAAUUACUAGGCGGUAAGAUUACCAAGGGACCAAAAUCCAAACUAUUAGAUUUCAACCAUUCUGUCAUAGGCUUCCAUAUUCAAGCUCCUACCUUCACUUCGAAAGCAUUGUUCCCAAGAACAGUUUCAACCAUUUUUUAUUUUUUUGAAAUGACCACUUUAAAAGAAAAACAACAACAACAUUUUUUACUUCUAAAGAUUGAACUAGCAAUGUAAUAUCGUAAUUGAAGAUGACUAUGUACAAAUUUGUUAAUAAUUUAAUUUAAUUUUAAAACAUAUAUAUAAUCAUUCAAAUGGUUUUAAUGCAAAUAAAAAUUCUCAUUUAAGUUAUUUAAGUAUUUUAAAGGGUAGUUUCUUUAAAUGGUAGAGAUAUUUAUUCAUCAAUUAAUUCGUCAAUUGAUAUGUUUAGAUAGUCAAAAUGUAAUUUGUCCUCAUGUCAAUCAAUUUGCUAUAUAUUAAAAGAGCACUGUGUGUGUAUAUAUAUAUAUUGAUUUAUUGAUUUUACAUAGAAAAGGAAAAUAUUGAUUUAUAAUCAAUUAGAAAUAAUACAAUAUAUAAAUCAAAUCCUUUCUCCUCAUUGCUCACUUUCUUUGGAUCUUUGGAGUUGCAUUGUUCUAUCGUAGAAGGGUUGCAAUGGUCUUGCAUUAGAAUCCGAGUCCUGUUUUCACAUAUCAAACCUUUCUUUUAAGUGGGUUAAGUAAAGUUUUUUUUUAUUUUACUAUCUUCUCCAAUUGAAAUAUAAAAUUCAUACCAAUUUUUACUUCCUUGAAGCUGUAAGAUUAUUCCACAAUUAUUAUUUUCUUUAUUCACAUAGGAUCUACUAAUUUAAUAAUGAAUUUCUCAAUUUUACAGAAUUUUGGCUACCUAGGCUUAUAGAAUUAUUUGGGAUGGCAGAUGAUCCAUUUAUUUUCUAUGGUGGAAAUCAAAAUUAAAGGAUUAAUUAUUUCAUCAAUCAAAUAACCACACGCUUAGGGUUUAGAAAAAUAAUAAAAAUCAUUCCAAUUAACUUACAUCAUGGACAGCCACUCGAAGUAAUUUUACUUGCUCUUCUGUAACAGUCCUCACCUAUUGAAAUCAUGUAGUUAGCAAUUAUAGUGCAUGAAUAUAUAAAUAUACUAUAUAAGUUUUAUUGUUUAAGCAAUUAGCUAAAAUCAGCAUAAUUGUUAAAAUUUUAGAAUAAUCCCAUAUAGGUUAUGUGUUCAAACAUUUUUUUCGUUUUUGUUUUUCAUUUUCAAACAAUAAAUCUACUUCCUUUCAUUUUUUUUACGAUUGCUUGUAUCAAUCUUAGUUGCAUUCAUAACUUAAUUCAAAAAAACAAAAACAAGCUUUUAAAUCUAAUAAGAGAUUCAGACGUGGAAGAGAAGGUGGUAAGGUAUGUUUUCAAAUAAAAGAUUAGAAAUGAAAUUUUAGUUUUUAGUUGUUUAUUUUCUAUGAUAAAAACAAAAAACCAUACAUAUUUGACAUAAUUAUUUCUAAUAUAUAUUGAAAUUUAGUAUUGGAAAAAGAAAAAUAAUAAUGUACCUGGUGAAUGAUAGUCCACAUAACAUUUUCAGUGCAUGGUGGAACAGUAAGUGAGCCAAUGUAUCUAUAAUAUUGUUUGCUACCCAUUUUCAAUAUAUUUGGAUCAAUUAUUCCAAUCACUCUCUCCUCUUCAUGUGUAUUUGAGGCCACUUCUAAAUCUUCUUCGAUCUGAUACCAUCACAAUAUUGAUCAAACAAUGUUUAUUAAUUCAAACCUUUUCCACAAAAUUUAGGCAGUUAUUGUGUGUUGUAUUUCAUAUUUUCAUAUAUAUAGUUUUUACCACGUACCCAAAUUGGGAUCUCGUUCAGAGACGCUGUAGCUGCCCUACUAAUAUCUAGGUUAAUAUAUAAAUAUUUUUAAAAGAAUCGUUUAAAAUUAUAAUUUUGACAAAAUAUUUAUAAGAUAUAGCAAAAUUUCAGAUUAUAUUAUUGAUAGACAUUUAUAUGCUUCUAUCAGUCAUAUUGAUAGACAAUCAUAAAAGUUUAUUAAGGUCAAUCUUUCAUAGAAUCUAAAAUUUUGUUAUAUGUUUAAAUAUUUUAGGUUAUUUUGCUAUUUUUAAAAAUGUCUCUUCUGUAUAUUUAUUAUUUUAUAAUAUAAUAUUAAGUAUGUAAUUUAUAAUUUUAUUAUAUGUACAUGUUUACAUUUGAAAAAAAUAAUAAAUGGAGUACUUUAUGACAUGAAAUACUAUAACUUUAUCUUUUUUUUCUAUAUUAUAAUUCAUUUCAAUUUUCAAAAUUUGAAUCAAAUAUAUAUUUUUUUCUAUAUUAUUACGAGUAUUCAAACCCAAUUUACCUGUCUUCACUAAAUUUUCAAGACACCCUCGUUUGACUCUACAAUAUUUAAAUGUCAAAAAACUCUAAACAAUGUUAGUUUAUUUAGAAUUUAGACGGUUAGAUCAUAGAUAAUCUAAAAACAACUAUUUGUCAAAUUUAUAUCCAUUAAGUUUAGUGAAUUUGAAAGAUAAAACAAAAUCUAAAUUGUUUAUCAACUAUGACGACUCAAUUAUGGAUUAAACAACUGACCGUUGAUAAGAAGUAAUCGGGUUCUCCAAUUUGAUACAAGAUUCCAAUGACAGAAAUCAUUCCAUUUGAGCUUUCAUGAACUAAGUGAGCUUCAAGAUCGAAAGUCUUGCCAUCAAUGGUGUGCUCAGAAGGUGAGUGCCAAUGACACUGUUUUAGUUUAUAUUGAGUUCCAUUCAUCUCCAUGUAUCCACCUCCAUCCACCCAUUUCAUCUGUAUAACCACAAAUACACCUUCUUUUUUACAUGCAGCAUAUAUGUUAUACGUAUAUAUAUAAUUCAUCGAUCAACCAUGAUUUUAAAAUAAUGAAUAGAAUCAUUUUUUUUUCAUUAAAUCAAAGUUAGUAUUAUUGAGUGAAAAAUCAACGUCGUGAAAGUGUAAGUCUCUUGAAGAUAAUAUAAAUCCAAUUGAAACAAAACUUAAAUUUUAAGGGUAAAGUUAUAAGUACUUUGAAAUCGAGAGACUAGAUUGAAAUCAAAAUCAAAACUUAAGAAUAAAAGUGCAACCUAUUUUGACACCUAUGAACCAAAUGAAAACUAGACCCAAUACUUGGGGAGAAAAAUGUGUUUUUUUUUUUAUUUGAAGUUACAAACGAACACAUAUGUGUUUAAUAUUAUUAUUUAAUAUCAAUCUAAUGAUUUAACAUACUUCUAUACGUGUCGAAGUAAGCAUAUAACUCAAUUUGGUAAUUGACGUGGUCUUUUUCAACCUCUAGGAUUGGAGGUUCGAUCUUUCAUAUCCAAGAUUAUCGUAUUAAAAAAAAAAACUUUUAUAUAAAGUUAUCGUACGUUAAAAAUUGAUUUUAGAUUAUUAAAAGCAUGUUUUAUAUAUAUAGAGAGAAUGAUUUUAUAUAUAACAAAAGUUGGUUUAAUCCUAGCUAGGAAAAAGGAAUUUAAUUACCAUCAUGUCAUGGCCUCUAUUCUUGAGUGUGGCAUUAGAAGAUUUGUAGUUGAUUUGAAGGUCUCCCAAAUGUGAAAUAACUUCAACUCUUUCAUGCAAUAGAUCAAUUGGAGAUUGCAUUAACCCACCCUUGCAUUUAUGCCACUCUGCUCUAAGCUCUCCCCAAUGGGUUGGUCCUUUUUCCCCAUCUCUUUCAUAAUCAAACCCUCUUUCAUUCUCUGCAUAAACAAUCAUAAUCCUUAAACAAAUAAUAUACAAUUUGAAGAAAAAAACUGAAUAAUCUUCAAUGCCAAAUUUAUACCAUAAUCUUAAAAUGUUAGAAAUGAUUUAGAAACAUUUUCUCUUAUAGGUGGUUUGACUCCUCCCUUUAUAAAUCUACGUUAACUCUUCCCAAGUAUUAUUCUCGUCUACUACUCAUAUCAUCAUAUUCAUAAAAAAAAAAAAAAAUUUAACAUUCACCAAGGAAAAGAGUAUAAUUGAAAAAUAUUUUAGAGUAUAAAACUAUUAUCUCUAUGUCAAAACUAAUAAUUGAUGACAUUGAGAGAAGUAGCUCGUACAAGUCCGUUAAAAAAGAUUGUGAGGUCUCUUUAUUUUAUAAUUUGAGAUGAUGGGAUACCCAUUUAGACUUCAUGAGCCUAAGAUAUCAUAUUAAAAAACAUGAGGUUUUAUCUCUAAAUAAGAAAUACAUAGUUCAUGAAAUCUCAUAAAUAUUGUGAGAUUCCCUAAUUUUUCGAACGGAUCUUUCAAUUACAACUGAACUAAAAUAUUUAAAGCAGGUUGGAGUGGAGAAAAAAAAAGUUCAUAAUUUGGGAGCUCACCAACUUCUUGGGAUGUUGCCUUUAAUGAAAACAAAAGAAGGGAAAAGAAGAUCAAAGAGCACAGGAUGUUUCCCAUGUUCUAACCUACUUUCUCUUUUCUCUAGAGAAUCUCUCUUUGUGAAAGUGUGGUUUAAGAAUAUGGGUUUAAGGUGUUUUUAAAGAUUAUUUAUAGCAUCAACUUACAAUGUGAAUAUAAUGCAAAAAGAAACAUUUGGAAACCUUAGCUUCAUUUUUCUUCAACUACUAUGUAUUUUCAGCAAACAACAAAGUUUGAAAUUUUCGAAGAAAAUAUGAACUUUACACCAAGAAAAAAGAAAAAUUGCAAUCAUUGAGUAUUUAAAGCAAAAGAAGUCCAAAUUCAGGAGGUUCCGUUUCAACAUUGUUUUCUCAUGUUCGUUUUAAAAAAUAUGCUUAGUAUCAGAUAUUUGAAUUAAUCAGAAGUUUCCCUAGAAUUUCUUGGAAUUUUUUUAACAGUCUCAAAAACGUUUAAAUUAAGAUGUAAUAUAUUGUCUUUUAACUUUUCAUUUCACUUUUAUGUCUAAUAGCUAAAUUUGAAAAUCUUAAAAUUUUAGUUCUAUUAAUUAAAUGUUAAUUUUCAUAAAUAUAACAAAAACACCCAAAUAUUUACGGUGCAGAUAACAAAAUAAAAAAAUCCAUGAUAUUUUCAUAAAUUUUAAGUUUAUCCUUGAAUAAUGCAUAUAAUUAUCACUUCUUUUUCUUAUUCUUAUUUGCAAUUUAUUCAUCUUUUUUUCAUAUUAUCACUUCUUUUUUAGAAUUUCUUCCUUAUGCUUCAUUUCUCAUCGAGAAUUUCUUCAUUCUUCUUCAUUUUCUUUUUUCUUUUCUUCCUUGCUACAAGAUUUAAAUGAUAUUGGUACAUGAUCUAAAUGAUCGUGUACCAAUGUCUAAACGAUUAGUUGUCUAUCUGAGAUAGACAAAGAUAGAUCACUAUCAUUAAUUGAUCAUUUAGAUUUUUGGUACAAAAUCGUUUAGACUGGGUACAAUAUCAUUUAGAUUUGAUAUAAAAUCGUUUAGACUAGGUACAAGAUCGUUUAGACUUGCUACGAAAUUGUUAAGAAUUGCUAAGAGAUCGUUUAGACUGGAUAUAAGAUCAUUUAGAUUGGGUACAAAACUAUUUUUUCACACAUGUGUGAUCGAUUAAUUGUGGGAGUAUUUUUGUUAUUUCAUGUUAUGGGCUUGUAGACAUUUUUCUUAAAAUUGUUCUAUACGUUGUAAAUACUUUCACGUUUUGUUCUAUUUUUUAAAAAACUCACUAAUAAAACUUUAAAACUUUAUUCGAUAACUAUUUGAUUUAACCAACACCAAACGCCAUUAAUGAAAUCUGAAGCGGCAAUUUAAAAGCCUCCUAUUUAAGUUAUUAAUUAAUUUAAAUAUUUUAAAAUAUAAAUUAAUUUAAUAAUCAAUCAUUUCAUCUUUUAAAAAUAAAAAGGAUGCUUAUAGGUUUAAUUAUAAAAUCUGAAAAGUCAAAUAAUUACUAACAAGAGAUCUAAACUUACAAUUUUAUACGUAAAAAAUCCACUAUUAGAUUCUUGAAUGGUUGAAAAUUCGAAAAUUUAGGCAAUAGAAGUUAAAAUUUUGAAAGCUCAUAAAUGACCAUCUUAGGUUUAAGACUAAACGUAUAAUUUAAUCCAUGCAUAUUAUUAAACUAAAUAAGAGAGAGAAUUAGUAAUUAAUUAUCUUCUUAAUAUUUGGUGUUGAAAGUUUAAUCAAAUUGCUAAUUAUAAAAAAAAAACAUAAUAAAAAUGAAAACAAAGUUUGGAGAUGAUGAAACAAGUUUUGACUAUAUGCACUCAACAAGAAAAUUGACCAAAAUCUUUGUACCAACUUUUCUUAAAAUUGUUGUCUAAAGUUGUGCAAUAAAUGAAGUCUUAGUACUAAUUUUGAAUAUCACAUAUUCAAUUCACCACCCUAUUUUAAUUUUAGUUUGAAUUUAAAAUUUACUCACACAAUGGUUAGGUUUGUUUUAAAUUUAGCUUUAAACUUAAAAAUAGGGAAAAUCUACCUUUUAUUUUUUUAUUUUUAUUUGAGAUUUGAAAUUGGUUUUUGAAGCUUUAAAACUAAUACUUGUUCUUGAGAUAGGGAAAAUGCUUUUAAAUUGUCCUUGAGGUGAUUUUUUAAAAAAAAGUUGGCAAAUUAUCAAUGAAUUAAGUAAUAUUUUCUUUACUUACUAAUUUAUUUUUAUCAAUUGAAUUAGGUUGAAUUUUGGCUUUCCCUCCCUCAUCUCCCCUCGUAGGAAAAAAAUUAAAGGCUCCUGCAAUAAUAGCAAAAGAAUUUAUGAUAAUAAGACACAUGUCACUAGAUUUUCUAAAUUAAAAAAAAGUAGAAAAUUUAAAAGUUGAUAACUCUAUCAUUACCGUCUCAUAGCUCUAUGAUUACCGUUUGAUAUUAUUAAUUUUGUCAUAUUUGCAAUAUACAAAAAAAAAAAAAAUUAUGUGCUAGUUUUUUUCUAAAUGUUUUUUUCAUUUAGUGAUAGGAUAUGAAACCGUGAGUAAUGAUAGAUUUUAGGUAUGCCAUUAAUCACUCUCAAGAUUCAAAAAUAAAAAUAAAAAAUAGUUAAAAACUAGGUUUAUAACAACUUUUUUUCAAUUAUGAAAAUCUAUUUUAGUUGUAACGAUAAUUGUUUCUUUUAUUACUGGUAAAUACGGUUUUAAAUUGGGCUAAAGAAACCUAGUUAUGAAUUUUUGCAUAAAUUUAAAAGUAUUUGUCAACAACCUCAAAGAAACUUUGAUAUGAAUCAAAUUAGUGUCGAGUAAAUUUCAAAUAUUUCCAUGUAAUUGAUCGAUAGAGAAUUCUAACACGCCCAUUGUUUGGUUGGAACAGACGACGAUUAUCUAUGCAUGUUUUUCUUUGAAUUUAGAAGUUUAAAUUUUCAAUUUUUUUUAUACAAAAACUAAAGUAAAUGAAGGAAUAAGCCCUGGUGGCAUGAUACUUGAAAAAGAAGCUAAGAAAAAAUGUCAAGUGAUGAGCGUAUCACGUGUGAAAAUUGCUAAGGAAAAAAAGACUUUAAAUGAUGCUAAUCAAUAUUUGCAUGAGAGAACUUAUCAAAAAUUUCAACUUAUUGCUAACAAUUUCAUUCCAUCUUUUCUUAUGUUUUUCUUCAACUUGUAUUCAAAUUUCCUAUCCAUUUUAACCUUAAUUUUAUUUAAUGUAGUUGGUAGCUUACAGCUAUGGAUGAAAAGAUUUUGACUUUCUUUUUUUUCUUUUUUCAACAUGUGUAUCGUGAGAAAUUCAAUUUUGACGAUGAUUUGUAUGUUUCAUCCUGAAUGAUUUUUAAAUGGUAGCAAAAAAAAAAAUCAUCUUCCAAAAUCAACUUUCAAAUACACUUUUGUUUAAUAUUACGGACUUUUGUUGUUUUCCAAAGGACUUUAAACAUGGUUUUAGUCGCUCGAAAUUAAUUUGGAUGAUCUAAAAUUCAUUUUGAAGACUUAAAAACAUGUUUAUUAGUGAUUUCGAAAAUGAAAAGUGUGAUUCUAGUAUGUUUAGAACUACUUCCAAAUAUACCCUUAACCACUCAAAAUUAAUUUUAUAUUUAAUUAUCAUUUUGAAAUGCAAUUUUUAUAUCAUUUAAAUUAAAUUUUAAUGAUUUCAAGAGGCGCGAGUAGUGAAUUUAUUUGAGGGUAGAAGAAUACAACGAUGCUUUAAGUCAUAAAGUGAAAAAGUGUAGAAACCGAUAAUUUUUAUAGUACUAUUUAAAUUGCCACAUAUGAAGCUACAAACUACAAUGAUGUAUUUAUAAUAGAUGAGGUUAACUUAGGUAUUUUUCUACUGCCUUUUGAAAUUCAACUAAUUAUUUAGUAACCUAAUGAAAUUCUAUGCAUGAUUCUUGGCCUCAAGAACAUGUUUGUACGAAAGUUAGGCUUCUUAGCCUCGAAAUUGGCUAAAGCGAAAAAAGGUUGGAUCGAGGGACCAACUCAAGUCUAUUGGAUUAAAUAAGCUCUUGGCCUCGUGAUGUUCACUAUCUUAAAGGUAAAGAAAUUCCAAAACAGUCGUAUAAUAAAGUUAUAGCCACACGCAAAAUUAUUUAGCCAAAUGAAAAUAAAGUAUAUAAUAUUGUUGGUACACGAUUGUUUAUAUUUUGUACAUAAUCGUUUAGAUUUUCUUUAAGCUUCUUGUGUUUAAAUUUUUUAUACACGAUCGUUUAGAUUUGUCUAACUAAUAUUCCAACUAUUUUUUUAGAUCUUUUAUGUUGACACAUAUUCUUGAACAACCAAAUAGUCUGAAAAAAAUAUAAAAAAUAGAUAUUUUAUAUUUUGUACACUGUAUUAAACCAAAUAACAGUUUAAAAUAAAAAGAAAAGAAAAGAAAAAUGGCAAAAAAAGACAAUGGAAAGAAAAAGACAAAAUUGCAUAAGAAAAAAGAUAGGAAAUAAGAAAAAGCCUGAAAUAUUUUCUAAAAAAAUAGUGUUCUCCAUAGCUUUUUGAUUUUGUUACAUUGACCGUAAAUAUUUUGGUGUUUUGUUAUAUUUAUAACAAUUAACCUACGAUUAACCACAAAUUCUUGAAAAUCCACCAUUUUAAUUAAAACCACAAAUCAUACGACUUAAUUUAAUUCUCAAUAAAACACAAAAAUCCAAAUACUCAAAUUAAUUAAAUAUUAUCCAACAAAUAUUUGAUUAAUUUCAAUUUUCACAAAAUAAAAAACUUCGCAUUCAAUUAACUGAAAAUAACACUCUAUAAAAGGGGUUUUUUAAAAAAUAUAACAAAUCGCUAAAAUAUUUACACAUUAUAAAACAAUUUCAAAAACGGAAAAGUCUCAAGCCCACAAUGAAAAAUACAAAAAUGUCUGUGAUUAAUUGACAUUAUGACGUAAUAUAUUUGGGAAACGAUCGUUCAGAUUUGGUUAUUCUUUCAUACACAAUCAUUUAGAUUUGGCUAUACAAAUGAGAACAAUUUUUUUAAGAUUCUUUGCACACGAUCGUUUAAAUUUGGCUAUUAUUUAGUACAUGAUCGUUUAGAUUUAAUCAUUUAAAAUUUGGGUAGCCAAAUCUAAAUGAUUUUUUCCAGUGUUUUUUGGUAUACGAUCGUUUAUAUUUGGCACACAAUUGUUUAUAUUCGAUCGUUUAAAUUUAGGUAGCAAAAUCUCAAUGAUUUUUUUGAAGAUUUUUUUGGUACACGACCGUUUAGGUUUGGUAGAGGAUCAUUUAUAUUUGGUACACGAUCGUUUAAAUUUGGCUACCCAAAUCUAAACGAUUUUUUAAGACUACACGAUCAUUUAGAUUUUGCUAUUUUUUUGUAUUCAAAUUUGAGAGCCAAAUCUAAAUGAUGUUUUUUUCGAGAUAAAAAAAAUUAAUUGAUCUUUUAUAUUUGGUACACGGUAGGUGAUGAAUUAAUGCAUGCUUGUGUGGAAAGUUUGUGGACAUUUUCUACUUGCUGAAACACGUGAGAUGUUCUUGAACUAUAAAGUUUGAUAUCUUAAAGGAAGUUUAAUUUUCAUUAGCAUCUUCUUCUUCAAUGGUUGGGUUGGAUCCUCGGAGUAACUUUGCAUAUUUGUGAGAGUGUUCAUGAAAAGCACUUGAAAAGAAUUUGCACCAUACAUUAGAUGCAUGUGUGGGAAAUUGUUGAGGAGAGUAGUAUCUUGUUUCUGUUUUCGUGAUAAUUAAAUUUGUUCUACUUAAGCCCAUCUCUUGCUCCUUGAUUUUGAAAUACUAAAUUCCUUUACUUGGAAUCACAAUGAGAUCAGGAUGAUUCUUAACGUUAGACACCUUUACUUGUAUUUAUGUUUGUGAUGUUUGUAUUUAUGUAUUUAUGCAGCAAAACUAGAAGCUAGAUUGAAUUCUUCUUCAUUUUCAUAUGGUUCCUUUGGUGACUAUGAAUUGAGUCAAAUCUAUGGUUAUUUGAAGAUAUUGAGUUAAAUUUGUGAUUAUUUUUGCUUGAAGCAAUGUCUUUUCUAGUUUUGAUUAGUCUAUAGAACUAGAUAAUCAUCUUUGCAUUUUAUGUUUUCAUCUUUCCUCUUCAUAUUAAGAAGAUCAAUGGGUUCUUUUUAAUUUUGUUUUCAUUUUUCCUUCAUUUUUAGUUUUCUUUGUUCAUUUUCUUUCUGUUUAUUGGACAGUUUACAUGGGACAGUUUAGUGCUUUAUUUUAUUUUCUAUAUAUAUUGUUUAUAUGUAUUAAAUUGUUAUAUCAUUGGGUUCAUUCACUUGUUCAUUGUUUGUAGGAAGUAUUUUAGAUCCACUGUGGCAUGUGAAAGAUUAGUAUCACUCACUUGUGGAUUGUUUGGUAGGAAGUUUUGUGGAAUGAUCCUUUGUAGGAUGACUAAGUGAAUUGAUUUAGGUGUACAAACUUUUAUACUUGUGAAUUGUUUUGCUUUGGAAAUGUUUUUUAGUCAUACUCUAAAAUGAGAUUUUGUUUUCUUACUAGGUUUGGAAUAAUCAAUUAGAGCAGUGAAACCAACUUAGAGCAAUUUAUUGAUAUAAGACUUUUUGUAGGGUCGGUAGUAAUUUUUCUGUUUCAGUGUACUUAUUUUAGGUUUGUUGGUAGCAAAAGAUGUCAUUGUUUAUUCUUUUUGUAUGGAAACUACAAUUUACCAACAAAUGGUUAUUAGUCAAUCUUAGUGUACAAAUAUUACAAAGUGUAUCAUAACGUAUAUGUAUUAAAGUGUUGACUCUUUCUUUUCAUAUGGGUGUGAUGUAUUAUAACAACUUUGUGAUUGAACUGGUUAGUAUAAUGGCAGAGCGGUAAGAAGAACCGGAAGUGUAUUUUAUUGUAUAAAAAUGUAGUAAUUGAGGAAUAUACGACUGAAAAAAAAUGUCAUAUUUUACUAAUUCGUGACAUUUUUUUUAAUUGUCGUCAAUAUUGAAACAAUGAUAUUUGAUUUUAUAAAAACUGUAUCACAAUUGGCAUAUCCUUGACAAGGAAAAAAUGUCAUGGUAUGCAAAUUUGUGACAUUUUGUAACUAUCAUCAAUAUCGAAACAAUGACAUUUGAUUUUAUAAAAACAGUCACAAUUGACAUAUCCUUGACAGGAAAAAAGGAUAUAUUAUACAAACUCGUGACAUUUUAUAAUUGUCGUCAAUAUGCAAAGGAUGACUAUUAUUUAUUGUCAUAACUCGACUCCUUGGCUCUCUGGCUCAUCGGGUUAGGCCUCACCAACCUGGGUAUUGCACUUGUAUUCCUUAUGAGUCGGGCCAUUCAUGCAAAGGAGCACUUCACUUACGAACUGGCUCCUUAAGCGUAUAAUGAGAUGCCAUGGUUAGCAUGUCGUAUAAGACUAGAGAGUAACUCUGGCUUUCCUUCUUAACUUGGCUACAACGUCUCCAAAUCAACCUUCGCAUGACUUCUACAUCUGACAAUCUAGAGAGGAAAAAACUUAAAACAUAAAUUAAACGAACUCAGAGAGAGAUGAUUUUGAGAAAACCUUUUUGAGGAACACACAUAAUUAAUAAUAAUAAGGUAAAAUCGCAUUAAAUAAGUCACGUCGCAACAAACCAUAACAAAUCAGCAACCAAACAACAAACACUACAACAAGCUCAACUAUAAGAUAUGAGAUUCUCCUCUCACCUAGACUAGAAAUAUACACUCAGCUAGCGUCUUACGAGUUACCUGGGAUUUUCUCUAGCGCCUCUUCGUAUUCGAUCUUUCUCAGACUUGGGAGUUACACUCAACUAGUGUCUCAUCACAAUCUUGCAUAGACCUAAAUUUCUCUCAUUGCUAAGACCAGAGAGUCAUUUUUAACCAACGUUAUGUGAGUUACUUGGGAUUUCCACCAACGUUCAUUGUUAAUAGAAUAUCAUAACUCACCCCGACCUAAGGUUUUUUCCUCGUCUAGACCUAGAAUUCUCACUCAACCAGUGUCAUGCGAGCUACCUGGAAUUUCCAUCAGUAUCGUACGACAGAUCAAACUACACCACAAGGCAACCACAGAUACAACAAGGAAACAACAACACUUUGCUUACUUUAGCACAUAUAAUAACAUAAUAACAAGAUAUCUUAUAAAUUUAAUCACAUAGGAAAGAAUACUCAAUAAAUCUCUUUUACAAAACAUCUCUUUUCCUAAACGAGGAUCAUAAGCAACGGUUUAGAAAUCAUAUUCGAAAAACGAUUUGGCGUUCACAUUCGUUUAUAAAUCACAUUUAAUCUUCUUCAAAAAAAUAUUCUUAUUCAUACACAGAAAGCAUUUAGUCAUUCACUGAAGAACAUUCAUAACGCGCAUUCAGAUAUAGAAAAUGUUUAGUCAUUCACAAACAUUUAUUUUUACAAGAAUCACUCACUAAGAAUAAACAAUCAUAAGAAAAAUAUUUGCAAAUCACAUUUAUCAUUCGCAAACAGUACUACAUGCAAAACAUUGGAUUUCAAUCACAGAUAAUACUUAUAAAACAUUGUGUUUUUAUCACUCACAGAAGAUACUUAGUUUCAACUCCUUCCUUCUCGGCUAUCAACUUUCUCCUCUCGUCUGGUUGUUCCUUCAAUCGAUUAUUUAGCAUCCAAAACUCUCUUUUCUUAUUUUCGUCAGAAAAUCUAAUGUUUUCAAAAAAAAUAAAACUUUCUUUUUUCUUUGGCUUUUGACCCUAUUUAUAGAGGCAUUUCAUCUCCAAAAGGUCAGUUCUACGCUUUACACGUGUCACCUUACUAACACAUCGCGCCAUGCUGCCAACUCGAACUCGACACGUAGUCUAACCAUUAGCGACGAUUUGAAUUUUCCUUGAGACACACACCUUAUAUCCUUAAAAGAAGCCAAACUCUUAAUUCUUCCAAUUGCCCUUUUCUCUAGCUUUUUGAAAAUUCAUCGUUGUUUUCUUUUCCAUAACGAGUUGUCAAGUCACUUUGAGAAGAUAUUUGCUUCCUCGCUUCAUCCUCUUGGGUGCAUAUACUUUUUCUUGCAGUGAAAUGCUAAACUCCUAACUCUUUGGCAUUCACACAUGCUUCCUUCCCACCAGCCGUUCUUAUUGCGUCACUCAUCUUCACGUGAUAGAACUUUUGGACUUACACUUUUCUAUUUUCUUCACCUAUUCUCUGUUUGCAUUCCUCUUCGUGGAUUAGGGCCUUACAGGAAGGGAAAAUUUGGAAUAUAUAUUUAAAAAAAUGGAUGCUUCAUGGGCUUUUUGAUUUUGAUACACAGACCGUAAAAUUUUGAUAUUUUGUUAUAUUUGUUAAAAUGGUCUUUAACUAAGAUAGCCUAAAAUGGUAUACCAUAUUAUAAGAUUGACCUAAAUUUUUUAAAUUUUUCAGAAAUGUCCUAAAUUGACUAAUAUUUUACAUAGAUAUAAGGCCUAAAUGACCAGUUUACCCAUCUUUAUUAUUAAUAGCAUAUUAAAAAAAUAGAAAAAUUAAAAAGGAAAGUAAACCAUUAUUAACAUUUGCAUUUAUUGGAUAUUCUACGUAGAUAUGAUAAGUCAUUAAUUCUAUUAUGGUAAUAUUAUAAUAAAAAAUUCCCUUAAUUAUUUUUAUUUUGGUGAUUUUGUUCAAAAAAUAUUUCCACUUGAUCUCUCUCACUUUCCAAUCUCUCUCUCUCCAUCCAAUCUUUCUUUAGUUUUACAUUAUUUUUCAUAUCUUUCACCUAAUUAUAGUACGUAUUGAAUAAUAAAGUGUAGAUUUUAUGAAUUAAAUGUUCUUAUAUUAAUUUGUUUAUAAAAUGUGAACCAACAAGGAGAGAAAUUAGGGACGUAGGUUACGGUUUAGAAAAUUUAAAAAUAAAAAGUAAAAGUUUCAUUCUUCGAAUACGUUGAAUAUUGAUCCAUUUUCUUCACAAAAGACGUUGAAUAAUAGAAGAUUGAGGGAAGUAUAAGCGGUGAAGAAGAAGAACAUUGAUGGUCGAUUGGUACAGUGAUCUUUCGAAAAAAUUUGGCAAAAAUUUAAGGUUAUUAAGAAUUUAUAUUUCAUAUUCGAAAUGCAUUAGGGUAUAUUGAAUAUAUUCAAGAUAACAUAAUUUAUGUAUUAUUGAAUAUAUGAAAUAGUAUAUAUGUAACAAAUCACAUAAAAUAUAUGUAUUAUGCAGUAGUAUAUAUAUAAGAAUUAAAAAAAAAGUACUGAUUGGAUAAAUAAUCUGUGUAUACAGUGGUAUAUAAAUGCAGUAUGAAAAAAUCACAAACCAUGAAAAAAAAAUUUGUGUAUGUAUUAUUGAAUAUAUGCAAUAUUAUAUAUGUAACAAAUCACAAAACAUAAAUGAAUUAUUUAGUAGCAUAUAUGUAAGAAAUAAAAAAUAUACUGAAUGAAUAUAUAAUAUGUGUAUAUAUUGGUAUAUAUACGCAAUAAGAAAAAAUCAUAGAACACGAAAAAGAAUAUGCGUAUAUAUUAUUGAAUAUAUGCAGUAGUAUAUAUGUGAAAAAUCACAAAACAUAAAUUUAUUAUUUAGUUGUAUACCAUAGUACAUACGAAUGAUGAGACAUUUAAUAAAAAUUGUAUGUCAAACAUGACAGAAAGAUGAACUGAAUAAUAAAAAAUUAAACAAAAUAAAAGAAACAUGACCGGAAUAUAUGUUACGGAAUGGAAGAAGGACAAACUUUUAAGAAAAAAAAUGCUACGAAAUGGAAAAAGAAAGAAUAUACAAAACGAAAAAUGAAAAGGAAAAAAAGACCAACAAUAUAUUCAGUAGCAAAUCGAAAGGGAAGAAGAAAACAAUUUUUUGAAAUACAAAUCGGACAAGAAAACUGAUGUCGAAAUUUAUGAAAGAAAAUAUCGAAAUUGAAGGAGGAAGAAAACGAAGUGGUUGCAUGUGCUGGAACAAAUUUCACAAAUUCAAUUGGUGAUGAAAAUAAAUUAUUACACAUUAGAAAAGAUUUCUAUUUUAGGUAGAAUUAAUAAAGUAUUUUCAUUUGAUUUAGAAUAUUUGUGAAAUUUUGGAGUAGAUUUAAGUCAUUCCUCUAAUUUUUUUUGGUUAAAAUAAGUUUAUUUUAAUUAGAAAAUAUUUUAUUUUAAAAUUUAGAAACAAUUAGUUUGUGAUUCAAAUAUGUCUUUCAAAAAAUUUACUUAAAAAAAAGACAAAAUUUAUUUAUAUUUUAUUUUUGAAAAAAGAAAAAAAGGUUAAGGAUGAAUAAUUGGGGUUGGAAACUUUAUGCGUUGAACCAAAGUAAAAGAAAAGUCAUAAAACAGAGAUCCAAUAAAUUAAUAUGUCAUAUAAAUAUGAGAGGAAAUACCAAAAUUUCACGUACACAAUCAAACGAAACAGUGCUUAAUGGGCGAAGGAAUAUAUACAAACUAAACACUCCCAUCCCUCGAAUCUGCAGGUCCAUUUUGCGUAUAUUCUUGAAUACUCCAUGCAUUUUCUUCCAACAUUUUCACCCACUUUUCUUAAUCUUCGAAUAGCCUCUGAAUUCUGUUAUUUGGAUAUGAGCUACUACUCUUUCUUCAGUUUUAAUAUGUUAUUGAAUUAGGGUUCUUCAAUCUACCUGCAUUUGAUGCGGUAGAGGUAUGUAGUUGUUCUUUUUCUUUCUUCUUUUUAUAUUCGGCGAUCCGGGUUUGCCGGAUUGCAUUAGGGUUUCCCGGGCAUGUCACUUGCUGGGUAUUUUUUUUUUUUUUUGUAAUGUCACUCUGAUUUAGUAACUAUUACUUUGAAAUUAGUUAAUAUCUGUGUUGCAUGAAUCAUUUGGAGCAUAUGCGUGAGCUUUUCCUUUGGUCAUUUGCUUCUUCCUGGUUGUUUAUUGAUAUGAUAAGCCUAUGGCCGUGGUCGCGUAAUUCUGUGCUUUGGCACCAGUUUUUUGAAUUAUAUAUUUUUUGUGGUCAGAUAAUCUGUUUUAAAUGAAUGUAGCUAUUGAAUUGUAUGUUGGAUUUGGCAACAGUUCUAACUUUUUUUUUUUACCCUUUUGGAUUAUAUUAUGGACGAGGGGUUCACAGAUUUUGGAAGCUUUGGCGAAUUUUUAAUUUGCUUUACACUCUGACUAGUGGUGAGCAAAUAAUUAGACGGUGUAGUGAAAUAAAUAUUCGAAAAGCUAGAUGUAGCUUGUUGGAGAAAAUGCAGCUAUUUAAAACGUGACAUGGUGUUUUAUUCAUCUAUUUGUAGCUAAAGCUUUGGUAUGUACUUCUAAUGGGAAUCUUUUUGUUCAGUGCGUAGUAGUCGGAAGUAUGGUGAAGGAUACUCGAUCCAGUGUCAGAGAGAGGAAUGAGGAAAACAAUAAUCUAAAAGGGAAACAAAAUGGUGAGAAGGCUCCAGCAAGAGCGGGCUCUACAACACCAGAUUCAUCUGCUUUAAGGAGGUCUGCAAGAGAAGCAUCAUUGAAGAAAAUAAUCAUUGUGACCCCUUCCAAAUCUAGAAAAUCUGAUCGACUUGACAAGCAUUCACCUCGCACUCGUAGCGAUAAAAAGAAACAUGGUACCAUUGUUCAAAAGGACAUGCUUAAUCCGCUUAGAAGAUCUGAGAGGGUUAAAAAGCAGUCUUCAUCUACCUCUUCAGGUUCUGGAUCAAAGAAAUUAGUUAAAAGUUCAUCUACCUCUUCAGGAUCUGUAUCUAAGAAAUCAGAUAAAAGCUCAGGCUCACCAUAUACGAAGGAAAAAAAGGAGAAGAAAGAGAAGAGUAUUGAACAGUUAAUUCUUGACCCUAGAGAGGCUGGAAAAUCGCCAAAACAAGACGAGGUUUCACAAAAUGCCAAAGAUAAGAGAAUGGAUGCUCGUGCUUAUAGGGCAUUGUUUAGGGAAAAACUUAAGACAGGUACUUCAUCUAGCAUCUUAAUUGUACUCUCUUUUUAUGCAUUUCUUCCCCCGUGGACAUCCCUGCCUUGUAUGAUUUGUAUUAUUCAUUUUGAGAGGAUAAUGGUUCUCAUACUAUCAUUUAGUUGAUUGACAUCUAUACAU